AUUGAACGCUGGCGGCAUGCUUUACACAUGCAAGUCGAACGGUAGCAGGGUGCUUGCACCGCUGACGAGUGGCGAACGGGUGAGUAAUGCGUCGGAACGUGCCGAGUAGUGGGGGAUAACGCAGCGAAAGUUGAGCUAAUACCGCAUACGUACUGAGGUAGAAAGUGGGGGACCUUCGGGCCUCACGCUAUUCGAGCGGCCGACGUCUGAUUAGCUAGUAGGUGAGGUAAGAGCUCACCUAGGCGACGAUCAGUAGCGGGUCUGAGAGGAUGAUCCGCCACACUGGGACUGAGACACGGCCCAGACUCCUACGGGAGGCAGCAGUGGGGAAUUUUGGACAAUGGGCGCAAGCCUGAUCCAGCCAUGCCGCGUGUCUGAAGAAGGCCUUCGGGUUGUAAAGGACUUUUGUCAGGGAGGAAAUCCUAGUGGCUAAUAACUACUGGGGAUGACAGUACCUGAAGAAUAAGCACCGGCUAACUACGUGCCAGCCGCCGCCGUAACAC
rnacentral:rRNA from 1 species